GCGGAUGCUGUGACAAGGGGCGGGCGAGGGAGGGCUCCGCGUCAGGGGCAGACAGCUCCAGGUGCUGGAGGCUGCCGCGUGGAGAUGCCCGCCCAGCCAGGAUGUGGGUUUUCCUGCGAAUCGAAUUACCCGGAACCCCAGAGCUCACCCCCUCUGAAGGAGAGCAGGUGCCUCCUGAGAGCCCUGAACGAGUGCCCAGAUGCUUGUGAGGCCCAGAUCUUGGGGUGUGCAGCCAGGAAGGGCUCUGCUAGCUUUCCCACCUCCCUUCUGACCUCUUCUGCCCCUCGCUGGACCCAGCCCAUUGGCUUCAGGAUGGGCCCCACGGGACAUGCUUUCAUGGAACCUGAGGAAAGAAUGCACUUACAACAGCGCCGGGAGCACAGAGGCUUCCCACUACCCUUUCCGAGAAGCACGUCUAUUUUCUCUAAUUUAUUCAGUGCCGCUGUGCGUGUGUGGCCUCUCAG
rnacentral:lncRNA from 1 species